rnacentral:misc_RNA from 1 species
UCUUCUUCUUCUUCUUCUUCUAUGCUAUUGCUUAUGCUUAUUGUUUGGUUUGAAGACUAUUAACCCAGCUUGCAUCCACUUUCGUCCCUGUGCUGAAUAUAUAUAAAUACUUUCCUUCGCGUUUGAGCGAGGCAGGUAAUGGAAUCUAACGCAGACAACGCAAUCAUUCAAAGAAUUCUUUAGGUGCUAUCAUGGAAUAUAAUUUCAAUUUCAACCACCACUCCGUUUGGGAAAUCUUUUAGGGGAAUGGGA